CCGAGCGCGCCGGCCGCGCUUCCCCCGUUGCCGCCUAUUUUAUGUCUUUUGUCUCGGAGUUGGCACCUGUCCCAGAGAGCGCGUUUCCCUGCCCACCCCUUCGCCGCCGGAUCGGAGCGGGGGAGGGAGUACUGGGGACCCAGGGAGGAGGGGACGGGGAAAGCAAGGCGCCUGCGGGCCCCGCAGCCCGCGGAGACCGCCCGAGAGCGGCGGCCGUGCCCGCGCGCCCGGGCACCCCUGUUCUGAGGGGAGAUCGGGGCUGCAACCGCGCCCGGAAUACCAACGAGGCCGCCCGCGGCCCCCGCCGUGCCCGCUGCGGAUCUGCCUAAUGGGAAUGGAGCCGGCAACUUCCUGCUGCCUUGCUUUCUCCGCCAGCCCCUAGCCCACAGUCCAGCCUCAGAAGGCUGAGGGGGGUGCUUCGGUUUAGUUUCUUUUUUCUCAACCGAUCGACAUUUAAUAGUUUAAAUUUUUCAGUAUCCAAGACGUUAGGAGGACUUAGUAAACAGAUGCAUUUAAUCUAAUUAAAGCAAGGACAACGAGUGUGAGUGAAAAAUCACGUUUUCACUCGGGUUCUGAACACUUAGUUGCACAUCCAAGAAUAAUUAUGUUUUUAAAGCCAGCCCAAUAAACUUGAGAUUGCAAGUUUUCCGUGGCUCCUGGAUAAGAUGCCACUUCGAUCAUCCUAGACAAUGUGCCUUUUGAGGAGUUGCUCAGCAGCUUUGGGGACUCUGGAUAAAGGCAAACCAGGCUUAUGAUUUUUUUUUCUUUUGCCUUUGUUUCAAAGUAGUUUGCAGGUUUGAGAGUCCAUUUUGAUAGGCCUGUUUCAUAAUAACAUACGCUCUUACUGCAUGAUGGGUUUAUUUUCACUCUCGGUUAUUUAUACGCAACCUCUAAGCAUCAAUCCGCCUUGGACAAACAUGCGUUUAUAAUUUUCAUAGAAAUAAAACAGCAAAAGAUAAUUCAAAGUCAAUAGGAUCUCAGGCUGGACGAGGAAACGUGAGCAGGCACCCGUGAAAAGGAUUCUUUCCUUCUGACAUGAUGAAGCAUUUUUCAAAAUCUUUUGCUUUAUUUCACUGUUUUUUGUCAAACUUGGCAUUUGUUUACCAGCAACAAUAAUGAAACUCUGACCAGGGAACAAGCCUGUUUAAGGACAAAAGCAUACGCCGGAUACUGCACUAGUGCGCCCCACCCCAAAACAGCAAACCAAAAAAGCCCAGCAUGCUGGCACCAUUUUUUUCUAUCUUCUUUCCUUUCCUUUUCAAUGUAAAGAACAUACUUAAGUGUGCCUGCGUCUGUGAGUCAUGCACAUCGUGCUUUGAUGGUGCCAGCUCCACACGCGUGCAAUCACAUGUCUGGUUCUUAACCUGUGUAAGCAGCGCUUUGCCGCCUUUAACGUGCUUUGGAAGUCUCCACAUUCAUGUUUCAUGUUGCGGCGCCUGCGUAUGUAUCUCAAAAAGAAAUCUAACGACCCCGAAAGCAUUCUUAAAGGGUUAAUUAUUACUUUUCAAUUAAAAGGACCGCAUAAAACAACUAGAAGUCUACGACAGGCGUGUGUUCAAUCAUAUAAGAAUAUAUUGUACAUAAUAUUAAUAAACACAUGCUAGUAUGAAAAAUUUCCCCUUAGGAAUGAGGAAUUACCAUUCCAAAGAAGUAACAACAAAAAUCUGAAAAUAUGUAUUAAGGAUGACGGGCCAGUAUCUCUGAUUAUAUACGCAUCUAUCAAAUGCCAAAGCCAGAUUCUUGACUUUAAAUGAGGAAUGAGAAAAGGCACCAAACUAAAUUUUUUAAAAAUAAAAAUUACCAUUCAAGAAGUGAGUGCUGAAUUAAUUUUAGUCGAUCACGUCUAUAAUUUCUAAAAUUGAAUGAUCAGAAAUUGGGAAAUUAACAUUUUUCUAAAAAGUUUAUGUGCUACUUAUAAUUUUAUCGUACAGAUCUUCAGUAGGCUAGGUAAAUUCCUCUAGAAUAAACAGAAAAAGAAAAGAAAGGAGAAAAAAACUGAUUUCGAAGUCAAAUAGUUGGUUGUUAAGUUGCAAGGGACUGCAGGAAUUUUUACUAAAAUCAAGAUUUCACAGAUUACUUCUUUAAAAUUACUACAACAAACUUAAGCUGCCCACAAAUGGAACUCAUACUGAAAUUGGGAUUUGGUUUUGGGGGACUGUCAAUUACAAGUUGUUUGGAAUUUGACCACACUGGUCUUAUUUAUUGAGAGACUCCCAUUUUAUUUUUAAAAAAUCAAAUGUGACUUCACACAACACAGGUGACUAAUUUAUAUAUAAAAACAGUUUCAUUUUCCUGACUAUGUCCAAGUAUCCUAGCUUUUAGAUCUGGCUAACUUCAAGGUUAAGGUCAGAUUUUUCAUAGGAACCCUUUCUACAGAAAGAAAAGAAGUGUUUUAACUAAACUUAUCACUACAAGACAAUAUUUAAUUGCUGCAAAAAAAAAAAAAAAAAAAAAAAAAAAAAAACGAAGAAAACCAGUGCUUUUUUGUUUCUUGUUAUUUUAUAGGGCAACUUCUGGUAUAGUUCCUAAUUUUAAAAGAACAUGGAAGUUCAUUUUUUUAACUCCCAAAAAGGUGGUAAUGUAAGCACCCAGACAAGAAGGGACACUGACCUUGAAAAUAAAUGUCUAUAUAAUAUUUACAUGAUGAAUAUAUAUUUUUAAAAUUGAUUUCAAAGUAACCUGAGAUGUGGAUAGGUAUUUUCACUCCUAUUUUGCUUGGUUUUCAAUGAUGCACACAAGCAGGGGUUUUUGAAUAUCAUCAAAGGUUUGCAUCUUCGCUAAUAUCUUAUCCAUCAAUUUUUCAACUCCGCAUUCUAAAUAUACUGCAAGAUGCUGCUUCCCAAGCGCUCCUUGCCCGUUGACUUUCUGUCUGAGAGGAGGCAGCGGACCCAGAACCGCACGCUCCUUCCCUCACUCUCUCGACUUCUCCAAAACUGGAAGUCUCUCACACACAGAAUGCCGGAAAUUUAUAGAAGGACUCCAAGGCUCCCUGAGAAACUUCUCGAGUUGGGAAAAACCUUGUCAACGCACACCUGGACCUACAGAUUCGGAAAAAGUAACCGGCUGUAGCCAAAAACCAAACACUCAACCACCGAACACAGUCUGCAAGAAACACAGAGUUCUUUGACGUGACAAGAAGAAUUAUAAAUAAAAUAGCUCCAAGGCAGACAGGCUGAAUGAGCCUUUUAAGACAGCCUGUUGGUGCCUCAAACUUUAAUACUUAGAAUAUCAAAUGUUAGCUCCACGAGGACAGUAUCCUGGGAUAUGUGUGUGUGUACACAUAUGUAUUCGUGUGCAUAAAUGUGUAUACAUAGGCGUGUGUGUAGCGAUAAAUGUUCUGUUGCCUUUACGGCCUGGGGGCUGAUCGAGGGCCUGGUGGAACGUCCCUCGCCCAGAGGAAGGAGCAGGCCCUACCUGCGUUCUCCCUGGGUCACUCCCUUCCUCAUUACACGUACACAAACACCAAAAGCCAGGGAAAGCAUAACUGCUGUAGAUAACAAGGGCAGAUCUCAGAUAGAGAAAAGCUUUCUCUGCAAUAAAGAAUUAUUUUGUGAAUGGUAA